rnacentral:rRNA from 1 species
AAAGACUUGACGGUACUUCACAUCAACCUAGAGGAGCCUGUCUAAUAACCGAUACCCCACGAUCAACCCAACCCACCCUAGCCUACCAGUCUAUAUACCGCCGUCACCAGCUCACCUUAUGAAAGAAACAAAGUGAACCUAAUAAGCCACCCCUAAUAUGACAGGUCGAGGUGUAACACAUGAGUGGGUAAAAGAUGGGCUACAUUUUCUCUUAACAGAAAAUACGGAUAAACUACGAAACUAGAAACUGAAGGCGGAUUUAGCAGUACGUCAAGGACAAAAUACUUG